CUGCAGCUAAUUAAGCCAACUAUCCUGUGGUCCCUCUGGGACUCUGCACAGUGGCUGCGGACGGCAGCCUCCCUGGCAGUGACUGUGGCCUGUUCUUUGUAAAGAUUACCAUAAGGGAUCUUGGACACAGCC